GCUUUAUUUAUUAUUUAAAAUUUAUUGAAAUAGUAAUUUAAAAGUAUAUUUUAAAUAGUUUAUUUUGUUGGGGCGACAGAGAUAUAAGUUAAAUAACUGUUUAAAAUUUAAACAGCUAUGAUUGGGUAGGAGUAAAUGAUCCUUUUUAAAGAUUAAAAGAACAAGUU
rnacentral:rRNA from 1 species